rnacentral:rRNA from 1 species
AUGUCCACUUGUGUUGAGGCGGAGAAAAACGAAGUGUGCAAGCUCAAGAAGACGAUAGAGAAAAGCAACAAUGUGGGCAAUGAAGAUAUAGAAGAAGUAUUAAACGAACUAGUGGGAGUAGUUAUGGCACUUGGGUUUCUAUUAAAGUGUCUAAUUAUUCUUAAAGUUUUCUUCGAAUCAGUUCUCUUAGCGAAGAAACGAUCAAAACUAGAGGAUGGCAUUUGUCCCGGGCUCCCGGCCUUGCGUUGGGUUUACCGACUCCAAAUUCGAAAAUCGCAUUUCAGAGCUGGGGACACAAGGUCGGGACCAACUCCAUGGAGCUCGAGCACCAAAAUCCUGCACUUACAUUGGGACGUACAACGCCUCUUUCCCAAGGAUGAGGAACACCACGGCGGGAGUGCUGACUCCGAUGGCGAUCACAACGUACGCAGGCCACCUCGCCGUGGGCGCAACGGUGAUGUAGACGGCGGUCAUGAGCGAGACGACCAUGGCGAGGCAGGCGAGGAUGGUGAGCCUGUGGCCCCACAUGAGCUGAUCGAGCUUGAACUUGACGGGGUCCCGCCAUGCCCAGAUGAAGCAGAAGACGACGACGAUGGAGCUGCACAUGGCCACAGUGUUGGAGAUAACGAAGAUCUUGAACGCCGCCUUGUGGCCGUGGAGGGCCGUGCCAUCGGUCUGGCUGUACCCCCCUGGCAUGGUGAAGGUGGCCGCAAAGCUGACGGUGGCGAUCAGCGUGGCCACCAGCGUGUAGGUCCCGACGCUGAGCUCGUAGUACUCGUCGUGGCCAGCCCUCCGGCUGCGCAGCGACUGGUAAGUGGCGAUCGGAGGCAGCUGCUCCUUCUUGCACCUGGAGGCCUCGUGCUUCUUGAGCGUCUUCCACAGGUACAUCUCAUAGGUGUCCAUCUCCUCCGUGGCGGCGCGCUUCUCGAUGAGGCUGCGCGCGGACUGGCCCUCCCGGUUGAGGACGCAGGGGUUGACGCGGCGGUCCUUGAGCAGGAGCAGCGCCGACUGGAUGCGCGAUAG